CAGAGUUGCAAACUCCCACAAACCAUCGCGAAUCAUUACCCUUACUGUUGCCUCGCGCUGCGAUCCGAGCCCGCGGCCCCCCUCGGUCUCCCCUCGCGGAGCGGCCCGCCGCAGUGCCGAAACCUAAACUCUUGAUAUUUUAGUGGAACUCUCUGAGUAAAACUUAAAUAAAUCA
rnacentral:misc_RNA from 1 species